CCAUAUUAACAUUUUGCAUGCAUGCCAUAUUAACAUUUUGCAUGCAUGCGCCAUAGGCAGUGGCACCAUAGUGCAAAUAAGCAAUGUAUGUGCCACAGGCAGUGACACAUGCUCUUGUCGUGUAAAUUUUUUUUUGUUUGAAAAGUGAUUAGUUUGAUAAAUAAUUUGAAAAUGUUGUUAUUUUAGUAUUUAUUUUAAAAAUAAUUGUUAUUUUAGAAAAAAACGAAGAAAGGGAUUGAAAAC
rnacentral:lncRNA from 1 species